AAUUUUACAAAUAAUGUAUGGAUAUGACACUUUUUCCUCUGUAGUGUAAAUUCAAUGUGCUCAUGAAGUUAAGGCCUUUAGGCCUUGUGUUUACACAUUCCAUAUGUUUGUUAUGGCAAUUAAGCACUGCAUGCAAUUAGGAACUAAACACAUACUUGGCUGUUCCCCAUUGUAAACUACGUGAUGUGAGUAUAGACAGCAGAGUUUGAUUAUAGUUUAUUUGUCAGCACGACCACUGUACCUGUACCCGGACUGAUGACCUCCUAGGACACUGAUCAGCUGAUGGAGGCAACAAAGGCAGGAUGUAAAAGAAGAUGGUUGGAGAGUCCCUAGUGAUCAGGGCUUUGAGACCUGAAUAAGAUGACCCUGUUUUGACAUCAGCCCCAGAUUUAGGACUUGUUUAGGUGGAGUUACAGCCCCUUGCAG